rnacentral:rRNA from 1 species
ACUCGCCUACAUGAAGCUGGAAUUGCUAGUAAUCACAGGUCAGCAUACUGUGGUGAAUACGUUCCCGGGCCUUGUACACACCGCCCGUCACACCAUGAGAGUUGGGAAUACCCGAAGCCUGUGAGCUAACGUAAGAGGCAGCAGUCGAAGGUAGAAUCAAUGAUUGGGGUGAAGUCGUAACAAGGUAGC